rnacentral:rRNA from 1 species
GAUGAACGCUGGCGGCGUGCCUAAUACAUGCAAGUCGAGCGAACAGACGAGGAGCUUGCUCCUCUGACGUUAGCGGCGGACGGGUGAGUAACACGUGGAUAACCUACCUAUAAGACUGGGAUAACUUCGGGAAACCGGAGCUUAUACCGGAUAAUAUAUUGAACCGCAUGGUUCAAUAGUGAAAGACGGUUUUGCUGUCACUUAUAGAUGGAUCCGCGCCGCAUUAGCUAGUUGGUAAGGUAACGGCUUACCAAGGCAACGAUGCGUAGCCGACCUGAGAGGGUGAUCGGCCACACUGGAACUGAGUCACGGUCCAGACUCCUACGGGAGGCAGCAGUAGGGAAUCUUCCGCAAUGGGCGAAAGCCUGACGGAGCAACGCCGCGUGAGUGAUGAAGGUCUUCGGAUCGUAAAACUCUGUUAUUAGGGAAGAACAAAUGUGUAAGUAACUAUGCACGUCUUGACGGUACCUAAUCAGAAAGCCACGGCUAACUACGU